AACGAACGCUGGCGGCAUGCCUAACACAUGCAAGUCGAACGCGUGUAGCAAUACACGAGUGGCGAACGGGUGAGUAACGCGUGGGAACCUGCCUAGUGGUAGGGAAUAACCGCGGGAAACUGCGGCUAAUACCCUAUGAGCCCUACGGGGGAAAGAUUUAUCGCCAUUAGAGGGGCCCGCGUCGGAUUAGCUUGUUGGUGAGGUAACAGCUCACCAAGGCAACGAUCCGUAGCUGGUCUGAGAGGAUGAUCAGCCACACUGGGACUGAGAUACGGCCCAGACUCCUACGGGAGGCAGCAGUGGGGAAUAUUGGACAAUGGGGGCAACCCUGAUCCAGCAACGCCGCGUGAGUGAAGAAGGCCUUAGGGUUGUAAAGCUCUUUCGGCGGGGACGAUGAUGACGGUACCCGCAGAAGAAGCCCCGUCCAACUUCGUGCCAGCCGCCGCGGUAAUAC
rnacentral:rRNA from 1 species